AUUGAACGCUGGCGGCAGGCCUAACACAUGCAAGUCGAGCGGAUGAAGGGAGCUUGCUCCUGGAUUCAGCGGCGGACGGGUGAGUAAUGCCUAGGAAUCUGCCUGGUAGUGGGGGAUAACGUCCGGAAACGGGCGCUAAUACCGCAUACGUCCUGAGGGAGAAAGUGGGGGAUCUUCGGACCUCACGCUAUCAGAUGAGCCUAGGUCGGAUUAGCUAGUUGGUGGGGUAAAGGCCUACCAAGGCGACGAUCCGUAACUGGUCUGAGAGGAUGAUCAGUCACACUGGAACUGAGACACGGUCCAGACUCCUACGGGAGGCAGCAGUGGGGAAUAUUGGACAAUGGGCGAAAGCCUGAUCCAGCCAUGCCGCGUGUGUGAAGAAGGUCUUCGGAUUGUAAAGCACUUUAAGUUGGGAGGAAGGGCAGUAAGUUAAUACCUUGCUGUUUUGACGUUACCAACAGAAUAAGCACCGGCUAACUUCAU
rnacentral:rRNA from 1 species